rnacentral:rRNA from 1 species
GACACGGCCCAGACUCCUACGGGAGGCAGCAGUGGGGAAUCUUGCGCAAUGGGCGAAAGCCUGACGCAGCCAUGCCGCGUGAAUGAUGAAGGUCUUAGGAUUGUAAAAUUCUUUUAGCAGGGACGAUAAUGACGGUACCUGCAGAAAAAGCCCCGGCUAACUUCGUGCCAGCAGCCGCGGUAAUACGAAGGGGGCUAGCGUUGC